rnacentral:ncRNA from 1 species
CAAAAACUGACUUACUCAUAUAAUAGUGGGAAUAUGGCCCACGAGUUUCUACCGAUCCACCGUAAACGGACCGACUAUGAGAGGCA